rnacentral:rRNA from 1 species
GAUGAACGCUGGCGGCGUGCCUAAUACAUGCAAGUCGAGCGAACGGACGAGAAGCUUGCUUCUCUGAUGUUAGCGGCGGACGGGUGAGUAACACGUGGAUAACCUACCUAUAAGACUGGGAUAACUUCGGGAAACCGGAGCUAAUACCGGAUAAUAUUUUGAACCGCAUGGUUCAAAAGUGAAAGACGGUCUUGCUGUCACUUAUAGAUGGAUCCGCGCUGCAUUAGCUAGUUGGUAAGGUAACGGCUUACCAAGGCAACGAUGCAUAGCCGACCUGAGAGGGGGUUGGGCCCAACGGGAAGUGGGCAACCGCCCAAACCCGGAGGGGAGGCAGCAGAGGGAAAUUUUCGGGAAGGGGCAAAAGCCUGGCGGGGAAACCCCGCGUGAGUUAAGAAGGUUUGCGAAUCGUAAAACUCUGUUAUUGGGGAAGAACAUAUGUGUAAGUAACUGUCAACAUUUGGAGGGUCCCAAAGCAAAAAGCCCCGGCUAACUCCGG